UACGUAGGGUGCAAGCGUUGUCCGGAAUUAUUGGGCGUAAAGAGCUCGUAGGCGGUCUGUCACGUCUGCUGUGAAAACUCGGGGCUUAACCCCGGGCCUGCAGCUGGGUACGGGCAGACUAGAGUGCGGUAGGGGAGACUGGAAUUCCUGGUGUAGCGGUGGAAUGCGCAGGAUAUCGGGAGGAACACCGAUGGCGAAGGCAGCACUCUGGGCCGGUACUGACGCUGAGGAGCGAAGCGUGGGAGCGAACGAGGAAUUA
rnacentral:rRNA from 1 species